AGUGAACGCUGGCGGCGUGCCUAAUACAUGCAAGUCGAACGGACAAGUAAGAGCUUGCUCUUAUGAGUUAGUGGCGCACGGGUGAGUAAUGUAUAGCUGAUCCUCCCUACACUAGAGGACAACAGUUGGAAACGACUGCUAAUACACUAUACUCAUCACUAGAAUAAGUUAGAUAGGAAACGUUUUUCGGUGUAGGAUGAGGCUAUAUUGUAUCAGCUAGUUGGUGGGGUAAUGGCACACAAAGGCUAUGACGCAUAACUGGUCUGAGAGGAUGAUCAGGCACACUGGAACUGAGACACGGUCCAGACUCCUACGGGAGGCAGCAGUAGGGAAUAUUGCUCAAUGGGGGAAACCCUGAAGCAGCAACGCCGCGUGGAGGAUGACACUUUUCGGAGCGUAAACUCCUUUUGUUAGGGAAGAACAAUGACGGUACCUAACGAAUAAGCACCGGCUAACUCCGUGCCAGCCGCCGCCGUAACAC
rnacentral:rRNA from 1 species